CACUUAUAUCUUACAGGUCCUAGGAACCUGUAGAUAAAAAAUAGAGUGAUAGAAAUGGUCAAAAAUACUGCUUCUCCAGCUUUGAUCCCAUCUGCCUUUCUCCAAUGCUAAACAGUUGCACAGUCUAAGCUUGGAUCCUACUGUUAUGGUAAAGGUCAAGCUGGUAACAUAGAGUGGAAGAGUAGUAACUGAAGAACACCAUGAGAAAAGCACCCUGCUGAAAGGUCGGUAAAAGUUUGUUUCCCAGGGAGACAUGGGCCCGAAACCUUGCUAGUGAUCUUAUUGGAUGGAUCCCUGUUGGCUAAAUAUAUGCCAAUGAGGAUUCGGUUGAUUCUGACAAACUCAUAUUGUUUAUAAUCUGAGCUUCUAAAAUUAGAUAUGUCACAUAGGAUAGUAGAAAUGUCACAGUCAGUAUUUGCAUUUAGUAACAACUCCCUUUAUUUACAAAGAGAAACAUUCUGUGGUGAAAAUAUUUAUAGGGUCACAACUGGGCUCAAGUUAACAUUAAUCACACUUCCUGAGUUACCUUGAAUGGAUUAAUUAACAUUUCUAGGCUCAGUCUUCAUGAUUUAAUAUAUGUAAAGCAUUUAGCAUACUAGUCCAUUAUGAUCACUAUUAUUAUUGACUCUCAGUGAUUUGAAAAAAUAGAUGGAUAGAUAACUUCCAAGAGAACGUCUGUUUUUGUCUUCUUUCCCAUAUAUC
rnacentral:lncRNA from 1 species